UCAGGACGAACGCUGGCGGCGUGCUUAACACAUGCAAGUCGAACGAUGAAGCCUUUCGGGGUGGAUUAGUGGCGAACGGGUGAGUAACACGUGGGCAAUCUGCCCUUCACUCUGGGACAAGCCCUGGAAACGGGGUCUAAUACCGGAUAACACUCCUGCCUGCAUGGGCGGGGGUUAAAAGCUCCGGCGGUGAAGGAUGAGCCCGCGGCCUAUCAGCUUGUUGGUGGGGUAAUGGCCUACCAAGGCGACGACGGGUAGCCGGCCUGAGAGGGCGACCGGCCGCACUGGGACUGAGACACGGCCCAGACUCCUACGGGAGGCAGCAGUGGGGAAUAUUGCACAAUGGGCGAAAGCCUGAUGCAGCGACGCCGCGUGAGGGAUGACGGCCUUCGGGUUGUAAACCUCUUUCAGCAGGGAAGAAGCGAGAGUGACGGUACCUGCAGAAGAAGCGCCGGCUAACUACGUGCCAGCAGCCGCGGUAAUACGUAGGGCGCAAGCGUUGUCCGGAAUUAUUGGGCGUAAAGAGCUCGUAGGCGGCUUGUCACGUCGGAUGUGAAAGCCCGGGGCUUAACCCCGGGUC
rnacentral:rRNA from 1 species